UGAGCAACCUGCCCUUGACCCUGGAAUAACAGUUGGAAACAGCUGCUAAUACCGGAUACGACCUCCGAUGGCAUCAUCUGGAGGUGGAAAGCUCCGACGGUCAAGGAUGGGCUCGCGGCCUAUCAGCUUGUUGGUGAGGUAACGGCUCACCAAGGCUUCGACGGGUAGCCGGCCUGAGAGGGCGACCGGCCACACUGGGACU
rnacentral:rRNA from 1 species